rnacentral:lncRNA from 1 species
UGAGUUUUUCCCUCCCACUUCACUCUUCUUUUCUAACAAACUCUAAUUCUUUGUCUGCCACCUCUAAACACACACACACAAGAAACACAUGUAUCUUCUUUGCCUCCCCAUCAAUUAAACAUACAAACAAACACACUUCACUCACCCUCACCCUCUCGAUUCCCCCCUUCCCUCUCCGAUGAAACCGCCGGCAAGGAGCCGAUGGCUCCGACCACCCAUAACACACCCCCUCUUCCAAUCUCAGUUACUUAGACCCACACACCUCAAACACCCCCCCUCCGGUGAUUGGCAUACGACGGCUGAACGAGAGAGAGAGAAUAGAUCAGGACGCGACGAGAAUCAGAAGAGAUGAGAGAGAGGCUGGAGCGAGAGAGAGAAACAGCGGGGUGCAGUUUCUGGUGAUGAUCCGCCACUGGCGGCGGAGCCGCAGCGGUGGCGGUGGCGGUUUUGGUUCCGACAAGCUUCCAAUCGGGUUCAGGUUGCGUUUGGCUCAGACUUGGUGAAGAUUCGAGAUGUGUUUUGGCUUGGGUUCGAGCUAUGUUCGGGAAACCGAGUUAUAAUUUAGGUCAGUGGUUCAAAAUGUUCAGAUUUGUGUUGAGUGUUUCAGGAUCUACUCGGAUCAACCACAAGUGUGUUUAGGUCAGAUUCAGCCGGUUCGAGUAUGGUUCAAAGUUUAAGGUUCGGGUCAAGUUUUUGGUGCGGUCAACUUUGGUCAACAGAUUGGUUCGGGUCAACUGGUCAACGGGUUUGGGUCAAGCGGCUUCAGUCAGACUCAGUUAUGGUUUCGGUCGACUCGGUCAAACAUGGUCAAAACAGUUAGUUGACUCGGUCAACUCAACCGGUCAACUCAGUUGACUCAGUCAACUCAGUCAGCAUGUUCGGCAUAUCAACACGCGAGAGAUGGGAUAUUGUAGAAUGCACCCUAGUGAGUCACGUCUUGGAAACGACAUCAUGAAGUUGUAUUUAGCUAGCUUAGCACAAGGAUAUCCAGCCGAUUGAAGAAUAAUCGAAGAUCUUAGGUUUCUUAUUCCAAAAUCCACUGUACGAAUAUACUGAUUAUUCGAACAAUCACGGUAUCAAUAUACUGAUUAUUCGAACAAUCAUGGUUUUCAAGACGAUGGAAAGUUCGUCAAGGUAAUUUAUUAGUAUCAGCAGGUUAUAAGUUUUAAUUUUUGUGUUUGAUAUCUAGAUUUUGUAUUGAUGAUUUCUCAUGUUUGAUUACUAAUUUUGUGUUUUGAUUUUUGAAAUCCCGUUCCUCACUUCUGCCUCCUCAUCUACACCCUCUCAUCUAUCACUCUCCCGCCACCUCCGUCAGCCACGGCUUCCGCCGACAACCGCCACUCCAUUCCCCUCUGUUUUAAGAUCACUCUGUCUUCCUCUCAUAUUGAAAUAUCUCUAUUACCAGUAUCGUUUUACCGGACGGUUUUCUCGAUUCGUUGCCGCGGAAGGAGGUGGAGCCACAUGUCGUGAAUGAAGUUAUUGCUCCGAGCUUUAAGGAUUUUUGGAAGGCUGGUGAUUUUGAUGAGUUUUUGGAUGGUGAUUGUGAUACAAGUCUGGUGAGUGUUAAUGUGUUUGAUAUUUGGGGAUUUGUUUUAAUUUUAUGAUGUCAGAGUGAAUGUUUGUAGAUUAUUUACUAAUUUUGUUUACCUGAUUGAGAUUUUAGGUUAAUUUUUAUUUGAUUCUGAGUUU